rnacentral:rRNA from 1 species
GACGAACGCUGGCGGCGUGCUUAACACAUGCAAGUCGAACGGAAAGGCCCUGCUUUUGUGGGUUUCUCGAUUGGCGAACGGGUGAGUAACACGUGAGUAACCUGCCCUUGACUUUGGGAUAACUUCAGGAAACUGGGGCUAAUACCGGAUAUGAGCUCCUGCUGCAUGGUGGGGGUUGGUAAGUGUCGGCUGUUGUGUAUGGACUCGCUGCUUAUCAGCUUGUUGGUCGGGUAGUGGCUUACCAAGGCUUUGACGGGUAGCCGGCCUGAGAGGUUGACCGGCGACCAUGGGCCUGAGAUACGGACCAGAAUCGUAUGGGACGCAGUAGUGGGGAACCUUGCACAACGGGCGGACGCGUGAUGCAGCAACGCCGGGAGCGGGAUGCCCGCCUUCGGGUUGUAAACAGCUUUCGACUGAGACGAGGAGUGAGUGACGGUAACGGGUCAAGAAGCCACGGCUAACUACGUG